ACGCUGUUGUGCGACUUCGGGUCUCUCGACAGUAAGUCACCCCCUUCCAGUAUCCAGUAGUGGGUAUUCAGUUACUUACUAUUGUGUGUUGGUCGUUUACUGUGAGAAAAUUAGAGUGUUCAAAGCAGGCGUUUGCUUGAAUAGAUUAGCAUGGAAUAAUAAUUGAAGGCUUUCGUGUUCGAUUUGAUUGGUUUGUUCAUGGAAGCAAGGUUAAAAGGAACAGUUGGGGGUAUUCAUAUUCACUAGUUAGAGGUGAAAUUCUCGGAUUUAUGGAAGAUGAACAAGUGCGAAAGCAUUUACCAAGGAUGUUUUCAUUAAUCAAGAACGAAAGCUAGGGGAUCGAAGAGGAUUAGAUACCCUCGUAGUCUUAGCUAUAAACGAUACCGACUAGGGGUUAGUAGAGGUCAAAGUGUCUUUAUUAGUACCUUAUGAGAAAUCAAAGUCUUUGGGUUCCGGGGGGAGUAUGGUCGCAAGGCUGAAACUUAAAGGAAUUGACGGAAGGGCACCACCAGGAGUGGAGCCUGCGGCUUAAUUUGACUCAACACGGGGAAACUUACCAGGUCCAGACAUAGAAAAGGAAUGGAAA
rnacentral:rRNA from 1 species